CGGAGAGUUUGAUCCUGGCUCAGGACGAACGCUGGCGGCGUGCCUAAUACAUGCAAGUCGAACGCUUUGUGGUUCAACUGAAUUGAAGAGCUUGCUCAGAUAUGACGGUGGACAUUGCAAAGAGUGGCGAACGGGUGAGUAACACGUGGGAAACCUACCUCUUAGCAGGGGAUAACAUUUGGAAACAGAUGCUAAUACCGUAUAACAAUAGCAACCGCAUGGUUGCUACUUAAAAGAUGGUUCUGCUAUCACUAAGAGAUGGUCCCGCGGUGCAUUAGUUAGUUGGUGAGGUAAUGGCUCACCAAGACGAUGAUGCAUAGCCGAGUUGAGAGACUGAUCGGCCACAAUGGGACUGAGACACGGCCCAUACUCCUACGGGAGGCAGCAGUAGGGAAUCUUCCACAAUGGGCGAAAGCCUGAUGGAGCAACGCCGCGUGUGUGAUGAAGGGUUUCGGCUCGUAAAACACUGUUGUAAGAGAAGAAUGACAUUAAGAGUAACUGUUCAAUGUGUGACGGUAUCUUACCAGAAAGGAACGGCUAAAUACGUGCCAGCAGCCGCGGUAAUACGUAUGUUCCAAGCGUUAUCCGGAUUUAUUGGGCGUAAAGCGAGCGCAGACGGUUAUUUAAGUCUGAAGUGAAAGCCCUCAGCUCAACUGAGGAAUUGCUUUGGAAACUGGAUGACUUGAGUGCAGUAGAGGAAAGUGGAACUCCAUGUGUAGCGGUGAAAUGCGUAGAUAUAUGGAAGAACACCAGUGGCGAAGGCGGCUUUCUGGACUGUAACUGACGUUGAGGCUCGAAAGUGUGGGUAGCAAACAGGAUUAGAUACCCUGGUAGUCCACACCGUAAACGAUGAGUGCUAG
rnacentral:rRNA from 1 species